AAGCCAUGAUAAGGGCAUUGCCUUUGUAGACUUUUGAAUCUAUCCCAUACUUCAAAUAAUAAUUCAUCUGCUUGAGCAAAAUUUGUGAUGCAAUUCCUUAUGU